GGGCAACAUGUGCCAGUGUACGGUCACCUUCACAGUGAAAAAGUUCUUCCCGCACAUUUGCUUGCAGAACUGCAUGAGGUUCAUAGCAGCAAAGAGAAUAUUACAACUAAGCCUGCAGCUGACAUUCCUCAAAGACAGAACCUCUUUUCCACCAGUUUGUGCUCAUUGACUCUUGUCCUGGCACUGGGCACCACUGAAAAAAGCCUGACUGCACCCUUCCUUCAGAUAACUGAAGUUCUUCAUGGCAGGCAAUGCUAAAGUAAGAGGAUUAUCUCAAACUACUUCUGCAAGAAGAAUGGAUUUUCCCCUGAGUUAACUUGAGAAAUCAAGACUUGUAUCUUCUAUUUCUAAGGAUACAGCGAUGUAGUUAUAAUUUCUGUUGAAUAAAUAGGAAAGGUGAUGUGGCAAAUGAAUGAAGAUUAUAAGGGCAGAAGGAAAUAAAUGUUUAAAACAGCAACAACAAAAAGGUGCAGCAUUUAACUGCAAUCUGCAGAAGAUAUCCUGGUCAGGUGUGGUUUAUGUAAUGUUAUAAUAAAGAAAAAAAAAAUAGUAGGGAUUUAUAAAAUGGCUGGUCAAACAAUAAGCAUCCUAAGAUGUUUUCUCUGUUGCACGUAAACAAGGACUUAGUGCAGCUGAGUAUCUGGAUUAUAUUUGUGACACCUUCUGUUAUCUUCGGACCUUUUCAGUUAUACCUUGUGAUUCUUUAUGUUUGAUGUACAGAGCUUUAUACUUUUCAGUUCUCCAAGCAGAGAUACUAUUACAUUGUGGUACUGUGUGUUUGUUGUUUUUUUUUUUUUUUUUUUCACUCAGAGCUUAUCUUUAAAACCAUAUAAUUCCCCAAGGCAUCCCAGAGUGGUAGGAUACAUUUUUUCAUCCUGUUUAUUCAACUCAAGAAGAAUCUUAUACAUCUUAUGAUGCAGAUCAUACUAGUGUAAUGAUCUUUGUUGAGUAGCCUUCAUUAUUGAGUGCAGGAUUUCUAAGUGGUUGAGUAUUUAUGGAAUGAGUGAAGGAUACAGUGAUAUUAAUUUAAAAGCAAAAACCAAGUCAGAAUUUUUCAUACCAGUAGUGUCUCUAAGACAGAGCUAAGAAGCAUAACACUUUUACUGUGCGAUUUACAUGCAGGCAUUUAUUCAUCCCUAACUUUCUAU
ensembl:lncRNA